rnacentral:rRNA from 1 species
CAGUAGCCGCGGGAAAACGAAGGGUGCAAGCGUUACUCGGAAUUACUGGGUGUAAAGCGUGCGUAGGUGGUGGUUUAAGUCCGUUGUGAAAGCCCUGGGCUCAACCUGGGAAUUGCAGUGGAUACUGGGUCACUAGAGUGUGGUAGAGGAUAGUGGAAUUUCCGGUGUAGCAGUGAAAUGCGUAGAGAUCGGAAGGAACAUCUGUGGCGAAGGCGACUAUCUGGGCCAACACUGACACUGAGGCACGAAAGCGUGGGGAGCAAACAGGAUUAGAUACCCGAGUAGUCCCUGUCUCUUAUAC